GACGAACGCUGGCGGCGUGCUUAACACAUGCAAGUCGAACGAAGUGGCAAACGGGUGAGUAACGCGUAAUCAACCUGAUCUUCAAAGGGGGACAACAGUUGGAAACGACAGCAACUACCGCAUAAUGAAGGAGGGGAUUGCGUCUGAUUAGCGAGGUGGAGGGGUAACGGGCAACCAAGGCGAAGAUCAGUAGCCGGUCUGAGAGGAUGAACGGCCAAAUUGGGACUGAGAAACGGCCCAGAAUCCUACGGGAGGCAGCAGUGGGGAAUCUUCCGCAAUGGACGAAAGUCUGACGGAGCAACGCCGCGUGAGUUAUGACGGCCUUCGGGUUGUAAAGCUCUGUUAAUCGGGACGCGGUACCGGAAUAGAAAGCCACGGCUAACUACGUGCCAGCAGCCGCGGUAAUUC
rnacentral:rRNA from 1 species